CCAUUGGUAGUUCAGGUAGAAUUCUCGCCUUUCACGUGGGAGACCCAGGUUUGAUUCCUGGCCAAUGCA
rnacentral:tRNA from 1 species